AACGAACGCUGGCGGCAGGCUUAACACAUGCAAGUCGAACGCAUCCUUCGGGGUGAGUGGCAGACGGGUGAGUAACGCGUGGGAACGUGCCCUUCAGUUCGGGAUAACCCAGGGAAACUUGGGCUAAUACCGGAUACGUGCGAGAGCAGAAAGAUUUAUCGCUGAAGGAUCGGCCCGCGUCUGAUUAGCUAGUUGGUGGGGUAAUGGCCCACCAAGGCGACGAUCAGUAGCCGGUCUGAGAGGAUGAUCAGCCACAUUGGGACUGAGACACGGCCCAAACUCGUACGGGAGGCAGUAGUGGGGAAUAUUGGACGAUGGGCGCAAGCCUGAUCCAGCCAUGCCGCGUGAGUGAUGAAGGCCUUAGGGUUGUAAAGCUCUUUCGUCCGGGACGAUAAUGACGGUACCGGAAGAAGAAGCCCCGGCUAACUUCGUGCCAGCCGCCGCCGUAA
rnacentral:rRNA from 1 species